UUAAUGGAGAGUUUGAUCCUGGCUCAGAGUGAACGCUGGCGGCGUGCUUAACACAUGCAAGUCGAACGGUAACAGAUUCUUUCGGGAAUGCUGACGAGUGGCGAACGGGUGAGUAAUGUAUAGUUAAUUUGCCUCUUAGAUAGGGAUAGCCAUUGGAAACGAUGAUUAAUACCUAAUACUCCUU
rnacentral:rRNA from 1 species